rnacentral:rRNA from 1 species
UACGUAGGGUGCAAGCGUUGUCCGGAAUUAUUGGGCGUAAAGAGCUUGUAGGCGGUUUGUCGCGUCUGCUGUGAAAUUUCGGGGCUCAACCCCGAACUUGCAGUGGGUACGGGCAGACUAGAGUGUGGUAGGGGAGACUGGAAUUCCUGGUGUAGCGGUGAAAUGCGCAGAUAUCAGGAAGAACACCCGUGGCGAAGGCGGGUCUCUGGGCAGUAACUGACGCUGAGGAGCGAAAGCGUGGGGAGCGAACAGG